rnacentral:rRNA from 1 species
GUGGAUUAGUGACGAACGGGUGAGUAACACGUGGGCAAUCUGCCCUUCACUCUGGGACAAGCCCUGGAAACGGGGUCUAAUACCGGAUAACACUCCUGCCUGCAUGGGUGGGGGUUAAAAGCUCCGGCGGUGAAGGAUGAGCCCGCGGCCUAUCAGCUUGUUGGUGGGGUAAUGGCCUACCAAGGAGACGACGGGUAGCCAGCCUGAGAGGGCGACCGGCCACACUGGGACUGAGACACGGCCCAGACUCCUACGGGAGGCAGCAAUGGGGAAUAUUGCACAAUGGGCGAAAGCCUGAUG